rnacentral:rRNA from 1 species
UCACACCCACAACCGCCAGGGAAUUACGAGCCAUCUUAAAACCCAAAGGACUUGACGGUGUCCCACCCACCUAGAGGAGCCUGUUCUAUAAUCGACACCCCCCGCUAUACCUUACCACUUCUCGCCUUUCAGUCUGUAUACCUCCGUCAAAGCUUACCGUGUGAACGCCCACAGUGGGCUAAAAGAUCUCCGUCAACACGACAGGUCAAGGUGCAACUUACGAAGUGGAAAGUAAUGGGCUACAAUUUCUACAAUAGAACACACGAAAAACUACAUGCAACACAGUCAUUGAAGGUGGAUUUAGUAGUAAAAAGAAAAUAGAGAGUUCUUUUAAAUUAGGCGCUGGGACGCGCACACACCGCCCGUCACCCUCUUCAAGUGC